UUUGGAUAAAAGGAAAUCAUCCCCUAGAAGCUGGAAGCCCAAGCUUGUUUUCGUCAGUAAACAACAGCUCUUAGACAUGGUGCUUGACUUUUUUUCUGACUCAUAUCCAUAUAGAACCCGUCAUGCUGUGCUGUAUACUCAAGCCACAAUCAACUGAAGUUGCUCAUUGCCUAAAUUGUUAUUCCUUAUUUGAUAAGGCAUUUGUACCCAUUAAAGCAGAUUCCUGACUCAA